CUACGGGCCGCAGCAGGCGAGAAAACUUUGCAAUGUGCGAAAGCACGACAAGGUUAAUCCGAGUGGUUUCUGCUAAAGGAACCUUUUGACAGUCCUAGAAACACUGUUGAAUAAGGGGUGGGCAAGUUCUGGUGUCAGCCGCCGCGGUAAAACCAGCACCUCAAGUGGUCAGAAUGAUUAUUGGGCCUAAAGCAUCCGUAGCCGGCUCUGUAAGUUUUCGGUUAAAUCUGUACGCUCAACGUACAGGCUGCCGGGAAUACUGCAGAGCUAGGGAGUGGGAGAGGUAGACGGUACUCGGUAGGAAGGGGUAAAAUCCUUUGAUCUAUUGAUGACCACCUGUGGCGAAGGCGGUCUACCAGAACACGUCCGACGGUGAGGGAUGAAAGCUGGGGGAGCAAACCGGAUUAGAUACCCUCGUAGUC
rnacentral:rRNA from 1 species